CGCAGAUCCGCCGGCGCCGUCGUCCGACCUUGGCCUCUGAGUGUGCUCACGCCAUGGCCUACUCGGGACGCCGCCCUUCCCCCCUGAUCCAACCCUAACCCUAGCAUUGCUGCUGCUGGUCAAGUUGAAGGUGCCUGUCAUCGUGGUGGUGGGGUGUAAGCUGGACCUGAGGGACGACCAGCAGAACAGCCUUGAGCAGACGAUGGCGCCCAUCAUGCAGUCGUUCCGUGAGAUCGAGACCUUGCAUCGAGUGCUCCGCUCUUUGCCAGAUCAAGGUGCCUGAGGUCUUCUACUAUGCCCAGAAGGCAGCGCUUCACCCCACAGCUCCUCUAUUUGACCAAGAGGCACAAUCUCUAAAGCCACCUGUGAGGGCUUUGAAGCGGAUAUUCAUUCUAUGUGACCACGACAGGGAUGGAGCUCUCAGUGAUGUGGAGCUCAAUGACUUUCAGGUCAGAUGUUUUAGCGCUCCUCUCCAGCCUACUGAAAUAUCAGGCGUGAAGAGAGUUAUUCAAGAGAAGAUGCCCGAAGGCGUAAAUGAUAGUGGCCUUACAUUGACUUGGUUCCUUUUCCUUCAUGCUCUUUUUAUUGAGAAAGGUCGUUUGGAAAUUACAUGGACAGUAUUGAGGAAAUUUGGUUAUGAUAAUUAAAUCAAGCUUAGAGAUGAAUUCAUUCCAACGUCAGUCAAGCGAGCUCCUGAUCAAACGGUGGAAUUGACAAAUGAAGUGAUUGAUUACUUGAAAGGAAUAUUCAACAUGUUUGCCAUAGAUAAUAGUACUAGACAGAAAAGUUGACUCUAUGACUGAUCCGCCAAAGAGCGGACCUGAUACUCGUGUCCGAUGCAUUUUACCAGCCGCCGCGACCGUGCUCCUUCGAAGAUCUGCCGCCACUGCGAAGCCUAGCUCCUGAGUGCUUCAAAGUCCAUAUGAAGCAAAAGAAAGUCAUGCAGUAUGUUGCAAUUAUAUUGUGAUGAUUGGUAGGGAAUAACUGAAGUCUUUGAAAUUUGGUACAUGUUGUCGUGUGUCGAUUCAGCCCCAUUGUGCCAUCAGAAUGACUUGGAUUUACAAUUUAUAAAUGAUGAUGUAGUUAUGCGCACCAUCCAAACAAUACACGUGUGGUUCCCAAAUUGGAGCAUAUAUUUCCGUGAAGAUCUUCAAUUUGGCCCAUGAGCCUGCGGAUACGUGCUUUCUUGACCUUGCGACACACUGUCCUCUUCCGCCGGCCGCCUAACAGGCAGAUCAUGGAGGAUGGUUCUCACAUUUCUGUUUGGGGAAUUCUUCAAUUGAGAAAUUGAAAUGACUGCUGGUUAGGUAAUUAGUUCACUGAAAGGAGUGUCAUACCUCAUCUCUUCAUGCAAAUAUAGUACAUCAAAUUGUCUAUUUGUUUUGUGUGCUCCUUGGAGACGUUAACUGAACUUCAAAAUAAAUCAGUUGUUUGUUUGUCUAAGAUUAUUUUAGACCCGAGAACUUGGGUCUGUUUAGAGUUACAUAUGUUAUAGAAGGUUGUCGUUCUGCUAUACUACCAACAAGUCACAAAUGGUUGUUAGAUAUUUAGAUGGAUCUGUUGAGUUAACCACUGUAUUUCUCAUUUCUUUAACUGUUAAUAGUAUACGUAGUGCUCACUCUGCUUUUCUAGGCACCUCAAGUCACUUUGACACUAUCAUCAUUCAAAAUAUGUGCAAACAAGCCCAUUGGUGCUCGACAUGGAUACAUGGUUUCUCGACCUCACGUGAUACGCUAACCUAAUCCGCCGGCCGCCUAUAGGUCUUUGUGUGUGUGUGUGUGUGUGCGCGCGCGUGCCUAUGCCAUUAAAAGCAGGCGGAGGUGCAUCAAUGGAGGAUCCAACCAUCGUUGGAGAUCGAUAUAAGGCUAAGUAACUAAUUUUUGCUUUUGCUAUCCUGAAUUUCUGUGCGGCACAUUAUGUGUGUGUGUGUGUGUGUGGAAUUGCUGUGACAUGCUUUUUUUCAACUAUACUCACAUUCUUUGCUUUAGUGGAUUAUUCUAUGCUUGCCCUGUUAACCAUCUUCAUCAUUUAUAAAGAACCUUCUGUGUUUCAUGAUAUUUCAUAGGAUUCUCAUUUUAACAUUUUUAGUGAGAGUCUCUUAAACUAUCUGGUUAGAAGAUAGGUGUAAUAAAUACAUGGUGGUUAAAUCUGAAGCAUAUAUGUAUUAUUUUGAGAAAGAGUUCAGUCCGUAUACCUGCAUUGUUGCUACUUGAAUUUUAUUUUCUUGGCUGUAUGGAAGUAUUAGUUCUUUUCAAGUCAAUAUAUUGAUUGACAGAAUAACUAGAAGAUCCACUUGUUGGGAUGGUGCAUGUUUAACAUAAUGCACGUGAUGGCAGGAUACAUGCAAAAAUAAUAAUUUGUGGUAUUAAUCGUGAGCAAAUAAUGGUGAGAUCCAUGCCA